UACGUAGGGUGCAAGCGUUGUCCGGAAUUAUUGGGCGUAAAGAGCUCGUAGGCGGUUUGUCGCGUCUGCUGUGAAAACCCGAGGCUCAACCUCGGGCCUGCAGUGGGUACGGGCAGACUAGAGUGCGGUAGGGGAGAUUGGAAUUCCUGGUGUAGCGGUGGAAUGCGCAGAUAUCAGGAGGAACACCGAUGGCGAAGGCAGAUCUCUGGGCCGUAACUGGCGCUGAGGAGCGAAAGCAUGGGUAGCGAACAGG
rnacentral:rRNA from 1 species